rnacentral:rRNA from 1 species
AUGUUGGAGAGGUUGAGGUAUACCAAUCUCUCGAGAGAACCCAUGAAAUCUGGUAUAGGCAUCCAUUCACCUCCGAGAAAGUUCCCGCUAAGAUCUAGAUGCUUGAGGUGUUGGAGAGCAAGCAAUGAAGAAGAUACCUGUCCCCGCAUCGAACGAGAACGAGCUUUGGGAAAACCAAUGAAAUCCUUCGCGGAGAAAUCAUUGCGCAGGUCCAGCUUGAUGACGUGGCCAGUCCAGUUGUUGCACCUUACACCGCUCCAGUGGCAGCAGUCAUGGCCGUGCCAUGAGACGAUGCGAUUAGCUGGGUCGCUAGUGACGCCGGCUUUGAAGGAGAGCAGCGCGGCCCUCUCGGCGGCGAUGCACCCUCCGUUGGGUAUAUCACUCGCAUGGGCAGAGAGCACGGUGACUAUGGUGGAGGCUGCAGCUAGGAUGAGGAAGAGGCAGCUGUGUGAGGAGGGUCGCGUAGUUGUGGCCAUUGUAUUGUUCUGUUCUGCCUGGUGUGUGUGUGUGUGUGGGCGUCAAGCUGAGGCAACCUUUGCAACACGAGCAGGGGAGGAAAUUUCCACCGUGCUUCCCUUAAUUGUUGUCAUUGGAAAAAAUCAACAGUCAAGAAGGCUGGGGCCUAGACUACUGUAG